rnacentral:lncRNA from 12 species
AAAAGCGUGAGGCGCGGGUGAUUGACGGGUGAAAAUCCCGCCCUCUUCUCAGAGCGCAGACAGCACUUCCAGCGGUGCAUGAAUCGACUCUGCCGCGAGGAGAGCGUUUCCAACACAGAAGUUUCUUGUGAGUGAACUUCUCUUAUUCUCAGAGGACACACUGAAACAAAACUUCAUAAAAUACUUAUUGCAUGUGCAACAUUAUAUUUUCAUCUCUCGUUUAAUUGUUUAUUUUUAUCCUUAUCUCUUCUUGCACUUCGAAGUGGACGAACCGCUCACCGGAUUCUCAAAUGAAUAGGUGUGAAGCCAUUAACAGAGACUUUCUGUGAAGACGCCGAGGAUACAAUACCUGCGGUUUUCUCAAAGCUUUGCAAAAUGAAGCUUUGGAGUUUUGUGUUACCUGUUGUCUUGUAUGCAGUGUCUGCACAAGGGGUAAGUCUGCUAACAGUAUUAAAACACUUAUCAGUAUAUCCCCUUGUGGUUUAUGUCGCCAGUAUAGGUUGGAUAAUUUGUUAUUUAACUGAAACUCUAACUCUUCUUUGAAAUAAACAUCUGGUUCAUCAUGUUUGGGUUAAUUUUUGCAAACACAUUUGGAUGUUUUUAUAAGACACAAUCACUUGACAAAAUACAACCUGUGAAGUUUUGUGUAAACUUUGUGUGCCUUGUUAAACUUUUCAGAUGUCAAGAGCUUACAGUAGUUAGUUACCGUUAAAAAUUAAUUCGUUUUUCAGUGAUUUGUGAAGUGUCUCAGUCCUCUCAUCUCCCAGCUGACCAAACACUCCUCCUCCUCAUUAAUAUGCAAAGUAACCUGUUUCUCAGCCACACCCAUUUACCUUAUUGUUACCAUAUUGACACUUGGUUUUCUAUAAGUACGUCAUUCAUGGAUAUUCAAUUUUUUUUAUCCUUGAUCUGUUUUAUUUUUUAACAAGAAUUGCAUGCACUUUUUUUUAGUAUGCAUCAAUUAUGAUCCAUUUAUCAUCUUUGGCUGAUGUUGAAGUAAUUAUAGCAGUAUACCUUUUGAAAUCUAUGAAAAGUUGUCUCUCUUGUUGGCUUUAUUUGAAAGUAAGUUG